CUACCAAAAGCGAAAGCAGUUGGUUAGGCUAUACCCUUUGUGCCGCGUGAACGGUGCUGUGAAUACACACACACACACACACACACACGAUAUAUCACACGCGCACACACGCAAUACACUUUACAAUGAAGAACGAAGGUUGGGGGAUCAAAGAGGAUCAGAUACCCUCGUCGUCCCAUUAGUUACAUCAAACUAUGGGCUCUCAAUUGCUCUCAGUUUAACUGUCGAGUAAUAUUAUGAUCUCAUACCCUGACCUGCAAACCUGUAUGGCUUGAGCCUCCCCGCUCGCUGUACUAAACUGUAUCGGUCUCAGUAUAGACAUAUCUACUCACCAUAUAAAUAAAGUCAUGUCAGCACUCGUAUUUCAAUGUAAAAGUUGAUUUCAGCAGACAUAAGAUUUUAUGAACUUUGCGCUCAGUUAAUAUACGGUGAGAUGUAAGCAUCGUAAGCAUAAUAUACGUGCGCAUCCGCUCUCGGGCGCGAUCCACUAUAUUUUUGCUUAAUAUAUGAUGUGAAGCACGUGUUAGGUACGCGCUUACUGCAGAAAU
rnacentral:rRNA from 1 species